rnacentral:rRNA from 1 species
AGCGAACGCUGGCGGCAGGCCUAGCACAUGCAAGUCGAACGAACCUUUCGGGGUUAGUGGCGGACGGGUGAGUAACACGUGGGAACGUGCCUUUAGGUUCGGAAUAACUCAGGGAAACUUGUGCUAAUACCGAAUGUGCCCUUCGGGGGAAAGAUUUAUCGCCUUUAGAGCGGCCCGCGUCUGAUUAGCUAGUUGGUUGAGGUAAUGGCUCACCAAGGCGACGAUCAGUAGCUGGUCUGAGAGGAUGAUCAGCCACAUUGGGACUGAGACACGGCCCAAACUCCUACGGGAGGCAGCAGUGGGGAAUCUUGCGCAAUGGGCGAAAGCCUGACGCAGCCAUGCCGCGUGAAUGAUGAAGGUCUUAGGAUUGUAAAAUUCUUUCACCGGGGACGAUAAUGACGGUACCCGGAGAAGAAGCCCCGGCUAACUUCGUG